rnacentral:miRNA from 1 species
CUUGGCACUCGAGAAUUCACGCG